rnacentral:rRNA from 1 species
CGGACGAACUGGGAGCCUAGGUUGCCAAACCACUGUGAACAGCUUAGACUUCGGUCUUUGCAAUUGCUUGGGUGUCGAAAGGCGCCCAAUCUUUAAAACUUUUAUAUUUGUUCUGAAACAAUGAAAAUUUAAAACUUUCAACAACGGAUCUCUUGGUUCUCGUAUCGAUGAAGAACGCAGCAAAGCGCGAUAGGUAAUGCGAAUUGCAGACGUGAGUCAUUGAAUUUUUGAACGCAUAUUGCGCUAUUAGUUUGUCUAAUAGCAUGCUUGUUGGAGUGAUAAUCUUCCUCUCAACCAUUUUUGGUAUGAGGUCUUGCUCCUUUUAGGAGUUAAAAUCAUGGAAGUGCACACGUUAAUUAACUCUGUGCAGUUAUACACUUUUCAUCCUCCAAUCAAGCAAGGUUACCCGCUGAACUUAAGCAUAUCAAUAAGCGGAGGAAA